AUUGAACGCUGGCGGCAUGCCUAACACAUGCAAGUCGAGCGGAGCGGCUGACGGGUGAGUAAUGCCUAGGAAUCUGCCUGGUAGUGUGGGAUAACGUCCGGAAACGGGCGCUAAUACCGCAUACUAUCAGAUGAGCCUAGGUCGGAUUAGCUAGUUGGUUGGGUAAAGGCCUACCAAGGCGACGAUCCGUAGCUGGUCUGAGAGUAUGAUCAGUCACACUGGAACUGAGACACGGUCCAAACUCAUACGGGAGGCAGCAGUGGGGAAUAUGGGACAAUGGGCGAAAGCCUGAUCCAGCCAGGCCGCGUGUGUGAAGAAGGUCUUCGGAUUGUAAAGCUCUUUAAGUUGGGAGGCGUUACCAACAGAAUAAGCACCGGCUAACGUCGUGCCAGCAGCCGCGGUAAUUC
rnacentral:rRNA from 1 species